UACGGAGGGUGCAAGCGUUGCUCGGAAUUAUUGGGCGUAAAGGGUAGGUAGGUGGUCUCAUUUGUCUGGGGUGAAAGCCUUGAGCUUAACUCAAGAAGUGCCUCAGAAACGGUGAGACUGGAGUCCUGGAGAGGGUCGUGGAAUUCCCGGUGUAGCGGUGAAAUGCGUAGAGAUCGGGAGGAACACCAGAGGCGAAGGCGGCGACCUGGACAGGCACUGACACUCAACUACGAAAGCGUGGGGAGCAAACAGG
rnacentral:rRNA from 1 species